GUUCGUUUGGUGGAAUUGGUAGACACGCAAGACUUAAAAUCUUGUUUCUUUAUGAAGUGUAGGUUCAAGCCCUACAACGAAC
rnacentral:tRNA from 1 species